GCCCUUGUAGCUCAGUGGUAGAGCGCUUCACUCGUAUCAAGUCAUGAAGAGGUCCGCGGUUCAAUCCCGCGUGGGGGCA
rnacentral:tRNA from 2 species